rnacentral:rRNA from 1 species
UGCAGUCGAGCGCAGGAGCUCGCGGAACUCUUCGGAGGGAAGCAAGUGGAAUGAGCGGCGGACGGGUGAGUAACACGUAAGGAACCUGCCUCAAGGAUUGGGAUAACUCCGAGAAAUCGGAGCUAAUACCGGAUAGUUCUUCGGACCGCAUGGUCCGAUGAUGAAAGGCGCUUCGGCGUCACCUUGAGAUGGCCUUGCGGUGCAUUAGCUAGUUGGUGGGGUAAUGGCCUACCAAGGCGACGAUGCAUAGCCGACCUGAGAGGGUGAUCGGCCACACUGGGACUGAGACACGGCCCAGACUCCUACGGGAGGCAGCAGUAGGGAAUCUUCCACAAUGGACGAAAGUCUGAUGGAGCAACGCCGCGUGAGUGAUGAAGGUUUUCGGAUCGUAAAACUCUGUUGUAAGGGAAGAACAGAUACGAGAGGUAAUGCUCGUAUCCUGACGGUACCUUGCGAGAAAGCCACGGCUAACUACGUGCCAGCAGCCGCGGUAAUACGUAGGUGGCAAGCGUUGUCCGGAAUUAUUGGGCGUAAAGCGCGCGCAGGCGGCCUUUUAAGUCUGAUGUGAAAGCCCCCGGCUCAACCGGGGAGGGUCAUUGGAAACUGGAAGGCUU